rnacentral:rRNA from 1 species
UACGGAGGGUGCGAGCGUUAAUCGGAAUUACUGGGCGUAAAGCGCACGUAGGCGGUUCUAUAAGUGGGAUGUGAAACCCCCGGGCUUAACCUGGGACUUGCAUACCAGACUGUGGGACUAGAGUAUGAUAGAGGGUGGUGGAAUUUCCGGUGUAGCGGUGAAAUGCGUAGAGAUCGGAAGGAACAUCAGUGGCGAAGGCGGCCACCUGGAUUAAUACUGACGCUGAGGUGCGAAAGCGUGGGGAUCAAACAGG